GUUUCACAUAUAUAUAUUUGUGAUAUUCUAGUUGUAUUACUGUCAUUCGAUGACAGGUUUUGUAAUAUACACAUGUUCCAUUUCAGUGUAAAAUGUUCUCGUCACGGUGUGGCUGAAAUGUUGCCGAUGUGACGUUAAAUAUUA